AUUGAACGCUGGCGGCAUGCCUUACACAUGCAAGUCGAACGGUAACGCGGGGCAACCUGGCGACGAGUGGCGAACGGGUGAGUAAUGUAUCGGAACGUGCCCAGUUGUGGGGGAUAACUGCUCGAAAGAGCAGCUAAUACCGCAUACGACCUGAGGGUGAAAGCGGGGGAUCGCAAGACCUCGCGCAAUUGGAGCGGCCGAUAUCAGAUUAGGUAGUUGGUGGGGUAAAGGCGCACCAAGCCAACGAUCUGGAGCUGGUCUGAGAGGACGACCAGCCACACUGUGAUUGGGGAACGGCCCAGACUCCUACGGGAGGCAGCAGUGGGAAUUUUGGACAAUGGACGCAAGUCUGAUCCAGCCAUGCCGCGUGCGGGAAGAAGGCCUUCGGGUUGUAAACCGCUUUUGUCAGGGAAGAAACGCUCUGGGUUAAUACCUCGGGGUAAUGACGGUACCUGAAGAAUAAGCACCGGCUAACUACGUGCCAGCAGCCGCCGUAAAAC
rnacentral:rRNA from 1 species